UACGAAGGGGGCUAGCGUUGUUCGGAAUUACUGGGCGUAAAGCGCGCGCAGGCGGCCUUUCAAGUCAGUGGUGAAAGCCCGGAGCUCAACUCCGGAACUGCCAUUGAAACUGUGGAACUUGAGGAUGAGAGAGGUGUGUGGAAUUCCCAGUGUAGAGGUGAAAUUCGUAGAUAUUGGGAAGAACACCGGUGGCGAAGGCGGCUCACUGGCUCAUUUCUGACGCUCAGGCGCGACAGCGUGGGGAUCAAACAGG
rnacentral:rRNA from 1 species